rnacentral:rRNA from 1 species
UUACAUUCAGUGGCGAGGUUAACCGAAUAGGGAAGCCGUAGAGAAAUCGAGUCCGAAUAGGGCGAAUAGUCGCUGGGUGUAGACCCGAAACCAAGUGAUCUAUCCAUGGCCAGGAUGAAGGUACCGUAACAGGUGCUGGAGGUCCGAACCGACUAGUGUUGCAAAACUAGCGGAUGAGCUGUGGAUAGGGGUGAAAGGCUAAACAAACUUGGAAAUAGCUGGUUCUCUCCGAAAACUAUUUAGGUAGUGCCUCAAGUAUUACCUGCGGGGGUAGAGCACUGUUUAGGCUAGGGGGUCAUGGCGACUUACCAAACCUUAGCAAACUCCGAAUACCGCAGAGUACAGCUUGGGAGACAGAGCACCGGGUGCUAACGUCCGGACUCAAGAGGGAAACAACCCAGACCGCCAGCUAAGGUCCCUAAAAUUGGCUAAGUGGGAAACGAAGUGGGAAGGCUAAAACAGUCAGGAUGUUGGCUUAGAAGC